rnacentral:piRNA from 1 species
UGUGCUGUGUGUCUUCGAGGGAGUGG